GAUACCCUAUUAUUUUUAAUGUAAUUUUUCACCUAGAUUAUUAGUAGUUAUGGUCUUUAAAAUUAAAAAAUUUGGCGGUAUUUUAGUCUGUUCAGAGGAACCUGUUUCUUAAUUGAUAGUCCACGAUUAUUUUUACUUUAAUUUUAAAUUUGUAUAUCGUCGUUUAUAAAAAUUUUAUUAGAAUUAGAAUUUUUUGGUUGUGGAAUGUUUAAUUUAUUUCAGAUCAAGGUGUAGUUUAUAUUGAAGUUGAAAUGGGUUACAUUGUAAAUAUAAUUGGAAUUUUAGUUUGGAAUUUAAAUGAAAUUGGAUUUGAUAGUAAAUUCUUUAUUUUUGGGAGUUGAUUUAGCUCUAAAAUAUGCACACAUCGCC
rnacentral:rRNA from 1 species